AGCCUGUUCUGUGGGAUGGCUUCCAUUCUUCCCAACUGGACCAAGGCAUGAUUCAUACCACAUUGUCUGUUUCAUCUUGUCAUUCUUCAUGGCAAAGCAGGAAUUGCCCAGUUAGGCGUGCAAGCCAAAAAAAAGACACAAUUUAUUUGUAGUCAGUGAAGGACUCAAGCAACUUUUAAGAAGAUGAAGACUGGAUCACAGUAAAAUGUUGGAGGAAGGAAUGGCCCAAUAUUCUUUGUACCAACAAAAAUAAAUGUGACAAGACUACAUCACUUCUGUGCUGAAAAUAUAAUCCAGAGUAUAACUUUAAUUAAAGCUCUAAGUUUGCAGGAUCAGACCCUGAAUGCCCUGUCCUGGGAACUGAGCUAAUGGCAGGAACCAGAGACUGAUUUAACUUCUGUACUAAAGAGCUUUGGCAUCUGAAGCUUGCAUGUGCUGCAACAAGAUGCUGAAAAGCCACAAAACCGAUGAGACAACUGGCAAGUUACUCAGCGACCCUGAUGAGUGUGUGGAAUGAAGCUGGGAGAGGAGGGUUUCCAACCACCCAACCAACCAGGAUUUUUUUAUCACUGCUGACAGGGCUGCUCCUUUGACCCACAAAGGAAAGUUAAGGAAUGGAGAUAACCUGCUGCAGGAUGCAAAAGCUCUUUACAGCAGGAGCCAGCUAAUGAUCGUUAAAACCAGGGAAUGGAAGACUUUUUGCUAGAACUGAUGGUACGUUAUCAUUCAGCAAGUAUCCAAGCUGAGGGAGCCUGUACAAGGAGGACCUGUGAUCUUCAGCAAAGUAACUGUGGUUUGUCCUUACUGUUGUUUCUAUGACAUCAAUAUAACAUCCACAUCGCUUAAAGAAAAAUGCCAGAUCUAAAGUAACAGAACUCUCCAUCCCUAAGAUGGAGCAGAAGUCAGACCUUUUCUUCAAUAUCCCACAACAGAGUCCCUUUAUUGAAAAGUCAUCCCCCAACUACAAACAAUCUAACCACAUACUGUUGCUUCUCUGAAAAGGUAAAUGGUGCAAAAUGCACCCCAGGGUUACUGUGUACAAUGUGCUUCAUGAGGCAAAUGCCAACAUCCCAAUAAACUAUUUAAUGCUAUUAUGAUGUAGUGGUGAAAGCCAAGCAGAGAGAUUCAACAAAGCAUAAUUUACUGAUUCCUUCUCUAUUUGGAGUGCAGGUUGAAACAAUCUGUUGGCAGCUUAGUCAUCCUUCUGUUUUCCCCCGGCACGUAUUUGCAUUUUUCUCCCUCAAAAUCUGGGAGAGCAAAAUUCAUUUUCUAAAAAACCCAGAAAACAAAAUCAAACCAACCAAGCGUGUUGCCUAUGAGCUGCCUGCAUGCAUUGCCAUGGUCGAAGUUUCAGUUGUGGUGCAAACGUUGGCAAUGUCAGAACUAAUCAGUUCAGUGAUUCAGCAAGGGAGGCAGAGAGGAAAGAUAGUAUAAACAGCUGGGUCAUUGUGCUCCUUUCCCAGUGUUAAUAAUACAUAAAUAUUGUCUUUAUUUACCAUUUCAUUCAUACAUUCAAGCAAGCACUGAUCAUUCAAAGGAUGCUAAGCCAAAUAAGCAGAUAAAGGCUGUUGCAGUGUUGGCUUUCUGUAGAAGCCCUGUGCAAACUAGGUGCCUCUUUUCUGAAAUGGGAAGAUUUUGAUUUGUUUCUGUCCUAUUUUGCUGUGACUUUAGAUGUCACACUUGAAUCACCACUGCCUCAGCUGCUCAACACAGACUAGACUGGACUACUAGGCUGUGGUUUACAUAGUGUUCAUAAGCUUCACCAGUUUUAAAAUAGCAUCUGAAACCCUCCAAGAGAAAAUACUACUGAAAUAUAAAGCAUUACCAUCAAACAGGUAAGCACAAUCUACUUUUUUAAAAGUGUAUUAGUUACUCUCUUGUCAUGGUUUUACCCCAGCUGACAGCUAAGCAGCACACAGCUGCUCUCUCACUCCCCCUCAGUGGGAUGAGGGAGAGAACUGGAAGAGUAAAAGUGAGAAAACUUGUGAGUUGAGAUCUAGACAGUUUAAUAGGUAAAGCAAAAGCCGUGCAUGCAAGCAAAGCAAAACAAGGACUUCAUUCCCCACUUCCCAUCAGCGGGCAGUUCAGCCAUCUCCAGGAAAGCAGGGCUCCAUCGUGCAUAACAGUUACUUGGGAAGACACACCCCAUCACUCAAGACAUCCCCCCGCCCUUCCUUCUCCUUCCCCCAGCUUUAUAUGCUGAGCAUGACAUCAUAUGGUAUGGAAUAUCCCUUUAGUCAGUUGGGGUCAGCUGUCCUGGCUGUGUCCCCUCCAACUCCUUGUGCACCCCCAGCCUACUUGCUGGUGGGGUGGGGUAAGAAGCAGAAAAGGCCUAAACUGCUUAGCAACAACUAAAAUACAGAGCUUUAUCAAUACUAUUCUCAUCCUAAAUCCAAAACACAGCACUAUACCAGCUGCCAGGAAGAAAAUUAACUCUAUCCCAGCCAAAACCAGGACAUGUCUAGAUGACUGAUGACAAUGAA